UACAGAGGGGGCAAGCGUUAUUCGGAAUUAUUGGGCGUAAAGGGCGCGUAGGCGGCUUGGCAAGUGGAUGGUGAAAUCCCUCGGCUUAACCGAGGAACGGCCGUCCAAACUGCUUCGCUUGAGACCGGGAGAGGUGAGUGGAAUUCCCAGUGUAGCGGUGAAAUGCGUAGAUAUUGGGAGGAACACCAGUGGCGAAGGCGGCUCACUGGACCGGUACUGACGCUGAGACGCGAAAGCGUGGGGAGCGAACAGG
rnacentral:rRNA from 1 species